GUGUCAGCCGCCGCGGUAAUACGAAGGGGGCUAGCGUUGUUCGGAAUUACUGGGCGUAAAGGGCGCGUAGGCGGCUUAUCAAGUCAGGCGUGAAAGCCCCGGGCUUAACCUGGGAACUGCGCUUGAGACUGGUAGGCUAGAGUACCGGAGAGGUGGGUGGAAUUCCCAGUGUAGAGGUGAAAUUCGUAGAUAUUGGGAAGAACACCGGUGGCGAAGGCGGCCCACUGGACGGUAACUGACGCUGAGGCGCGAAAGCGUGGGGAGCAAACAGGAUUAGAUACCCUGGUAGUCCACGCUGUAAACGAUGUCGGCUAGACGUUGGGGUUCUUAGAACUUCGGUGUCGCAGCUAACGCAUUAAGCCGACCGCCUGGGGAGUACGGCCGCAAGGUUGAA
rnacentral:rRNA from 1 species